rnacentral:snRNA from 1 species
CAACUUACAUGGCACCGGGUUCAGGGUGAUCAGCAAGGCCCUGACCCCAGGUGGAGGCUCGCCAUUGCACUCCAGCGUGUUGAAGCCUGCGACGGACUCUAAUCGAAUUCGCUCGGGUGUUGAU